rnacentral:lncRNA from 1 species
GAAAAUCUUUACUCAAAAGUCGUUAAGGAAAAAGUCUUUUGUGAUGACUUUUUCCAAUUUUUAUAAAGUUGCUAUGAAAGUUCCAUUUCUUGUUUGUGCUUCAUAAUUUUCUAAAUUAUUAUAUAAUGAUUAUAUUGAAGGCACAAAAGUAAACUAUAAAGUUGAAAAAAUCAAGUCCAAUAUAACUUCUCCAACAUUUGAAAAAUAGAAUAGUUAAAAAAUUAUAAUAUAGUAUAGAUCGAAAACAAAAAAAUAUUUAAAGACGGAC